UGGGGAAUAUUGCACAAUGGGCGAAAGCCUGAUGCAGCAACGCCGCGUGAGUGAUGAGGCCUUCGGGUUGUAAAGCUCUGUCUUUUGGGACGAUAAUGACGGUACCAAAGGAGGAAGCCACGGCUAACUACGUGCCAGCAGCCGCGGUAAUACGUAGGUGGCAAGCGUUGUCCGGAUUUACUGGGCGUAAAGGAUGCGUAGGCGGAUUUUUAAGUGAGAUGUGAAAUACCCGGGCUUAACUUGGGUGCUGCAUUUCAAACUGGGAAUCUAGAGUGCGGGAGAGGAGAAUGGAAUUCCUAGUGUAGCGGUGAAAUGCGUAGAGAUUAGGAAGAACACCAGUGGCGAAGGCGAUUCUCUGGACCGUAACUGACGCUGAGGCAUGAAAGCGUGGGUAGCAAACAGGAUUAGAUACCCUGGUAGUCCACGCCGUAAACGAUGAGUACUAGGUGUAGGAGGUAUCGACCCCUUCUGUGCCGCAGUUAACACAAUAAGUACUCCGCCUGGGAAGUACGAUCGCAAGAUU
rnacentral:rRNA from 1 species